UGGAUGCAGGUCAUUGACCUCAUUAUAGGAG
rnacentral:piRNA from 1 species